ACCUGUAAUCCUUCGGCUGUUAUAAAAAUACUGAAGUCCCUCCACUCUUUAGCUUUUGAUAUAUUGAUGUCCUUUUGACUUAUAUGUAGUACUUUGCGAUGAUAUAUUUAGUAGUUGGUGUCCUCAUGUUGUGGAGUUGCAAGCUGGGCAAAUUCAGGUAUAUCUGUUUGAGGGGAGGCAGUGAAGGCUACAGUACCAAGGAAGUGUCUGUGUCUUACUUAAAGGUGCACCUGUUCAAGAUUACUAAGCAGGGAAGUGAUGGUUAGAGCAGGCUACAGGUAUUCUUAUGUAAUCAGAAGCUGACAUAUUUUAAGAAGCUAUUCCUUCCUCUUUCCCAGCUGUCUUCCCUCUUUCCUUCUCUGCCUCCCACCCCAAAACCAGGGGCCUGCAGACUUCAGUGUAGUAGGAGCACAGACAGGUGCAAAGUGAAACAGUAGAGUGUUAACUU